rnacentral:misc_RNA from 1 species
UUAGAGUUAUGGGGUGG